rnacentral:rRNA from 1 species
GGACCCGCACAAGCGGUGGAGUAUGUGGCUUAAUUCGAUGCAACGCGAAGAACCUUACCUAGGCUUGACAUGCAUCUCUAAGCGCGUGAAAGCGCGUGACCCUUCGGGGGAUUUGCACAGGUGCUGCAUGGCCGUCGUCAGCUCGUGUCGUGAGAUGUUGGGUUAAGUCCCGCAACGAGCGCAACCCUUGUGUUCAGUUACCAGCGGUUCGGCCGGGGACUCUGGACAGACUGCCCAGAUCAACUGGGAGGAAGGUGGGGACGACGUCAGGUCAGUAUGGCCCUUACGCCUAGGGCUGCACACGUACUACAAUGCCCAGUACAAUGAGAACCGAGACCGCGAGGUGGAGGAAAUCUGUAAAACUGGGCUCAGUUCGGACUGGAGGCUGCAACUCGCCUCCAUGAAGCCGGAAUCGCUAGUAAUGGCGCAUCAGCUACGGCGCCGUGAAUACGUUCCCGGGUCUU